rnacentral:rRNA from 1 species
AUAUACAUUUACAACUUUCAGCGGUGGAUGUCUAGGUUCCCACAACGAUGAAGAACGCAGCGAAAUGCGAUACGUAAUGCGAAUUGCAAGACCUCGUGAAUCAUUAAGAUUUUGAACGCACAUUGCGCUUUCGGGAUUUUCCCGGUAGCAUGCUUGUCUGAGUGUCUGCGGAUCCCCCUCAGCGGUGGUUUUGUUUUGUGUCCUACCUCCUUCGGUGUGACGCGUUACAUGCUGUCGGCUGGAUUGGUUAUGGCCUUGUGACAGUUUUGGUUGGUUCUGACUUUGAACCGACCGGAAGUGUGGCUUGGCUGGAAUGUAAGUUCUGCUUAAGCACAGAUAGGACUUGACGCUGGUCGUAUGGACAAGGUUGGUGUUGCCGUCAAGGGUCGACGCUGCCGUAUGGUCCUGUCUUAUCUCUGGUAACGACGUCUAGUUGUUGGCUUUGAGUUUUGACUUGGGACUGUUCGACAGUGUAUGUUAUGACCUGGUGAUGCCAAGCACAUGUCGAAAACGACGUCAGCGGAAGGCAAGGACAAACUGAUAAUCAUUGACAUAAAGAUGAUUUUUUGUUUGUAGUUGCGACCCAUUCCGGAUCUCAGAUCAAGCAAGAGGACCCGCCGAAUUUAAGCAUAUAAUUAAGCGGAGGAAAAGAAACUAACCAGGAUUCCCUCAGUAAGGGCGACUGAAGCGGGAAGAGCUCAGGAUGUGAAUCUGUGCUGCCUUUUGGCUGGCACCGAUUGUGGUCUGUAGACUGUGACGUUAUCCUUGCGGGCCAAGUUCGUUGGAAAACGGCAGCAGAGAGGGUGACACUCCCGUCCGCCCGUUGGAAUGAGUCACACGUCGACGAGUCGAGUUGUUUGGGAUUGCAGCUCUAAUUGGGUGGUAAAUUCCAUCUAAAGCUAAAUAUUGGUGGGAGACCGAUAGCGUACAAGUACCGUGAGGGAAAGAUGCAAAGAACUUUGAAAAGAGAGUUAAAGAGUACCUGAAAUUGCUGAAACGGAAGCGAAGGAAACCAGUGCUUGGCUGUACCAUACUUCCCUUGCCACUUGUGGCCUGGGCGCUGUGGUGCUGCUGUCUGUCUGUCUGCCUUGGUUGUGUCCUGUGGAAGAGCGCCGUCGGAGUUGACGACGGUUGCUAGCAUUGGACGUGACCGAGCGCAGACGAAAUGGUUUUCUUUACCCCGUCUUGAAACACGGACCAAGGAGUCUAACAUAUGUGCGAGUACAGAGGUGUCAAACCUCGGUGCGCAAUGAAAGUGACAGUGGUUGGAUCUUUGCACAAUCCGCCGGCCUCAAUCCCUCGGGAGAACGGUCUGAGUGUGCAUACAUGUUGGGACCCGAAAGAUGGUGAACUAUGCCUGAAUAGGGUGAAGCCAGGGGAAACUCUGGUGGAGGCUCGUAGCGAUUCUGACGUGCAAAUCGAUCGUCAAAUUUGGGUAUCGUUUGGUCAGGCUGCGCGCAACGUGCAUCCUCAGGAAGCACUAUUCUAAAUCUUAUUUCGAAAAAAUAAAAGUGCACCCUCAGUGUGCAGGUUUUCUCGCUAGUAGGAAAUUGUGUAGAUUUUAUGUAUGAUACAUACCCUGGCGGGACGUCCCCUCUUCCGAAUGAUCAUGUAGACAUUUUGCUUCCAGCCGUCUCUUACAAAGUAGUAUUAACAGAGAUUCAACUGUAGUGUUGGUGCCUUGUCAGUGUUCAUACUUCUGUCACGUUGUUUGCCUACGUCGAAUCGGAGGAAAAGGCUGCGUUUGAUCGUGUUGGCAAAGAUCGUCCCGAACUUAUUCUUGUCGAAGUUGUUGCAGCCGAUGCUCCUACUGACCCUGUUGUUUGUGUCAACGACGAUAGACUACCGGCACUAGGAGGUGGCAGUGUCCUUGAUCUUUUUGGCGGUGCACCGGAUACCAUUCUCCUCUAGUGGUCAAUACUCGAUUUCCUUUCGCGAUCUGUUGGAAUAGACCACUGAUUCUUCUUCCUUCCAAAGUAUGCUGCAUCACUCCGACACAAACCAAACAUACACUCAUCAUGAUAAUCCAUAUAACAACUCCUUCCUUUGACAGUCCCUUGGUCGACGUGCCCGUGUAGUGCGACGCUGCACAUACCACAACGAGUCCUCGUCUUCUCCCCACAAACAAAACAGUUGUUUCUUGUGUUCGUCGUUUCUUUUGAAGCAAGAUGUUGUUGUAUUUAGACAAGUCACCACAAAACCGACUCGUUACCGUCUUCUUCUUCUUCAUCAUCAUAGCAAACUGGUCAUCGUUUAACAUACUGGCCGUUGCUGUUGGCAUCGACUCUGUUGUGGCACGCCGUUUCCUAGCGUUCCUUUUUCAAUCGACAUCUCCGUGACCUCUCGAAAGUUACGAUCUCCAGGGUAGAAUACGUUUGCAGGAGCGUAGGUUAACAUCUGUAUCGACAACUUGUCUUUGAACUCGUGAACUUUAGUGGUCCUUCGAUAGCUUCAGUCUUGUUGUGUCGUCAAGUUGAAAGAACUCGUGGCAUGGGGUCUC